AAACACGUAGCCAGACCAUCCCAGCCAGCCAGUCGCCGGUCGCCGCUCGACAAACUCGCUUCCUUCUCCGAAGGCCCUCCGCACCUCCAUUUAUCCUUCGGCUCUCCGCUCCGCAGAAUCAAGCCAUGACCAUGACCAUGAAGAGAGACCAAAGCACAGAGCUUGAGCCUCAUUAGUCGUCUCGUCUCGUCUCGUCACCUGCUCGCUCGCUCGCUCAAGGCUCAACAGUCACCAGUCACCACUCCGCCAGUACCCCCGCCUCUCUCUCUCUCUCUCUCUCUCUUGUGUAAACCUGUGUUGACCCUUUCUCUCUCCUCACCACCGGUGCGGCAGUUCUGCCUUCUGCGCUGUUGAAGUACUUGAAGCUGAGAUGAAGGCUUGAAAGCGUGACUUUUGAUGACGCUCCAGGAGAGGACGAUUGAAGUGGGUGACCGUGGGAAGGUACGCCUGUUCACUGUGCGGAUUUAACGAAAAACUGUAUGGACCAGUUCAUCGAUUUCGCUCUGUAACCUCUCUUAGUUCCCAUUCUUUAUUGAUCAUUCUUCAUUUUUUAUUUCAUGCGCAUGCGACCGAUGAUUCGCCGGCCAUUUGAGCUGUUUUCGAUCGGAAUCUAGCCGGAAUCUGGAUGCUCGUAUUCCAAAUUCAAACGGGUCUUCGUCGAUCUGCUUAUUGUGCCGGUAGUUUCCAAGAAACAGCGGUCUGUUUUGAUCAAUUUCUUUUUUGUGAUGCGGAUCCGUUUACUUAUUGUGGACUGUUCAGCAAGGUCUAGCAGAUAAUUUUGGAAGUUGGGUUUCUUUGGGAUGGUCGUAAGUAUGGAUAGUUUCCGUGCGUUUUGGUUCAUUCUUUCUUUCCUCUCUCGCUCCUUCCUUCUGUAUUUUCCGUUCAUGGGAAGAUGGGUAGGAUAUUCUGAAGGAGGUCCCAACUCCCAAUUCAUGAACAAGCAGCCAUGGAAGCAUAAUCUAUUCAACAGGCAGGUUGUUAAUUCAGAGAUGCAGACUCGAAGGUGGUCUGAGAUAUGCCUCACUUCAUGAAUCACAACUCGUAUCACUGAUGACGAACUUCGUCUGUCAGUAAAGCAACUAGGUCUACUAUAUUCUUUGGAUGAAGUUGAAGAAAUGGGAUUUUCUGGUGGCCAAUUGAAGGCAACAACUUGUACCGGAAUUAGAUGGACAUUUUCUUCGAUGGCUGGCUGUGGAUGGGCUGUGAGGUGAUACUUGGUUUUCAACACUCAACUGCAAAAGAGAUCUAGCCUUUCUUCUGGAUGCGUUUUCAAGGAUGUGACAUCAUCAUAAUAUCAAGAGUACAGUUGCAAUGCUUGUUUACUUGCAUGGUGAGUCUAUAUUGCUGUAUGCAUGGGGGAUGCAUUCCACUGCACACAAUUGACUGAUUACGAAGAUGUAGUUCCCAAUUUAUUCUGCUAAAGUAGGGAGGAUCCGAAAAUGCCAACAUGGUCUCUUAUUACUAGGGCUUCACUUUUUCACCUGAAUUAGAUGUAUGUGAGGAAAGCACCAAAGUUUAUAAGGCUACCACAGAAAGAUUGUAAGACAGUGGAGACCAUAUGCCAAAGUUCUUGAAUAUGUAUAGGCCCAUCGCUUCCCAAAAUGUUGCAUUCUGUACUCCACUGUUUAUGCUCAAUUUGCCUUUCAUGGGACUAUCUUAUCAUGCACUAAAAAGCAUGCUAUAUUGUAUGGAUUACUCCUGGAAUUUAUUUGGUCUCUAAUAUAUCCCAGGACCCAUGUUCAAUGAUUACUACUCUCAUGUCUCACACAUCUGUAGUUAUACAAUUAUACUAGCUGCAAGCCUGCAACCUUUUCUUUCUUGCAUGGGAUGUUUGUCAAAGUUCACAUACUAGGAACCUUCAAUGGUGAUGCCAUUACAAGGAAAACUGAAUACUGUGGAAGCUUGUGGCAACAUAUUGCAUAUGUAGAGGAGUUCUGGUACAGAGAACCUGUUAUAAGAAAACGAGUAUUUUCAUGAGGAGAAUACAAAAUGCAGAGAACACGAUAGGCACUGACAUUCAGUUGGAAAAAUUUCCUUACGUUUUUCGAGCCCCAAGCUCUGCAUACUUUCCAUCUUUCCCGCCAACAAGUCUUUGUCCAGCUCUAAAUUGAAUGCCGAGAGGUCCUAUUCAGAACGUACGUUGUUUAAACCAGAGUUCAAACUGUGUUCCAGGUGCAACUGGUCCGUCUGUUUUUAUGGGUUCUGAACCUUCUGAUUAAGAGCUUGAAUCUGACACUUGUUUCUGUUUCAACAAUUCAAGAGACCCGUUGCCCAGAAAUUCAAUGAACCUGCUCACAUAUUGCACUGAAGAAAUAAUGAUGGUUCAACCCUCAAGAUAUCUUUACGAUGAAAGCUCACAAAUAAAAAUCAAAAUCUUCAGAUUGCUCUCUUUCUAUGCAGCUAAAAUCUAUCUUCUCAUCUCUCGGCACAUUCUUCUAGCACAUUGGCCCAACAGAAGCCCUCGUUUACUGCUCGGUGGUGUUUAGCCACUCAAAAUCUUCAAAUUUCUCUCUGACGACGACACUUCCAAGAAGAGAACUCAGAAUGCAUUAAGAAAGAAACCCUGUCAGUCCAAGUUGCAUUGUUCAAAUUCAUCAAAAAAAAGGAGAAAAAGGAAAAGUUGUAUGCUGUUACUAUCAACACAAAUGCACAAUAAUUCUAUGUUCUGUCUGGUCGGUUGACUGUGCCAGUACUACAAGCUUCAGCAGUUCAUGGUCCGUCCUUGAUUUUCAGCCAGGUACUACCCCAAACAGGUCCAUCUGGAUCGGUUGGAGGGAGCUAACUGUGAAUGACUGACAGCUACCUUCCAGUAUCGUAUGUCUAAUGCAGCUUGCACGAAAGUCUGUACAAUGAGAUGAGCUCACAUGGCCAAUCUGAAGAGUUCAGAGGUACACCUGGGGACCAUGGCCAAAUAGCCAGUCUGAAAUUGACUGGACCCUGUGCUCUCUUCAUGGGGCCUGAAGAUAUUUUCAGACCAUACACCAUGAAUGCAACUGUGCAACUGAGCUUUGUUUAUGUCUUUUUUAACUCUGUAUUGCCACUCAUCCACGAUAUCAUAUUCGGGUUUAGUCUUGAUUCUCUCAGAGUUUCAGGGUUGGUUCUUUUUUGUAUUGAUAACCAAAUACUCUGGCAAAAGGACAGUGAAGAGAUUAUUAGAAGU